ACUGGAUUCUUAUGGUAAUUCAAUUUCAGACCUCCUCAGUUCUCGUCCACGACUCUCUGAAUAUGGAUCCGGCGCUUUGGGCCGACAUGAGAAAAAUGAUGCAAAAGGUUUGGAGACGGUUCGUAGAUACCAAGGUCGGUGAAUUCAAAAAAGAGCUACAUUUUAAAAUGGCAGUGCGGACGACUGGGGAUAUUCAGCCACCGGGGACCAAUCUAUGUGGAUACUAUGUUUGUGAGAGGAUCCGGAGAUACUGCAAUGAGCGGGACCAGCAGUGUGAGAACAACAUCCUGAGGAAUAACCUCCGGAAGACGCUUAGUCCAGAAGCUCGCUUCCGACCACUUCAAGAGGAACUAGCUGGAUGGUUGGCGAGGGAAGUCAUCGAUCCUAGAGGAGAACACCAUUACGAUGACGUAGAACUUUAUAUGCACUAAAUUAUGGAUGGAAACUUGUUCAAAAUUGUAUAUGGUCAUCCGAUAUUGAAUAUAUAUUGUAUAUGGUCAUCCGAUAUUGAA